rnacentral:rRNA from 1 species
UACGUAGGUCGCAAGCGUUGUCCGGAUUUACUGGGCGUAAAGAGCGCGCAGGCGGCUGGUCAAGUCCGAUGUGAAAUCUCCCGGCUCAACUGGGAAACUGCAUCGGAAACUGAUCGACUUGAAGAUGGGAGAGGGUAGUGGAAUUCCCGGUGUAGUGGUGAAAUGCGUAGAUAUCGGGAGGAACACCAGUGGCGAAGGCGACUACCUGGCCCAUUCUUGACGCUGAGGCGCGAAAGCUAGGGGAGCGAACGGG